UUUGGGAGGCCAAGGUGGGCAGAUCACGAGGUCAGGAGAUCGAGACCACCCUAGCGAACAUGGUGAAACCCUGUCUCUACCCAAAAUACAAAAAAAAAAAAUUAGCCAGGGGUGGUGGCAUGCACCUCUAGUCCCAGCUACUCAGGAGGCUGAGGCAGAAUGGCGUGAACCCAGGAGGCGGAGACUGCACUGAACCGAGAUUGCACCACUGCACUCCAGCCUGGGCGACAGACCGAGGCUCUGUCUCAAAAAAAAACAAAAACAAAAACAAAAACAAACAAAAAAAACCACAGUGAUACAAUUUCACAUUCCUUGUAUUGGCACAAAUUUUUAAAAGCUGACGAUACCACUUGGCCACUAUGUGAGGCAAGGGAAGGCUCUUAUUCUUCUGGUGGGAGUAUAACUUGGCAAACACACUUCGGAAAACAAUUUGGCAUUAUCACAUAAAACUUUAAGAAUCAAAAUUCCACUCUCCCUCUCUUUCCACGGUCUCCCUCUCCCUCUCUUUCCACGGUCUCCCUCUCCCUCUCUUUCCACGGUCUCCCUCUCCCUCUCUUUCCACGGUCUCCCUCUCCCUCUCUUUCCACCGUCUCCCUCUGAUGCGGAGCCGAGGCUGGACUGUACUGCUGCCAUCUCGGCUCACUGCAACCUCCCUGCCUGAUUCUCCUGCCUCAGCCUGCCGAGUGCCUGCGAUUGCAGGCGCGUGCCGCCACGCCUGACUGGUUUUCGUAUUUUUUUGGUGGAGACGGGGUUUCGCUGUGUUGGCCGGGCUGGUCUCCAGCUCCUAACCGCGAGUGAUCCGCCAGCCUCGGCCUCCCGAGGUGCCGGGAUGGCAGACGGGGUCUUGCUCACUCAGUGCUCAAUCUUGCCCAGGCUGGAGUGCAGUGGUGUGAUCUCGGCUAGCUACAACCUCCACCUCCCAGCCGCCUGCCUUGGCCUCCCAAAGUGCCGAGAUCGCAGCCUCUGCCCUGCCGCCACCCCGUCUGGGAAGUGAGGAGCGUCUCUGCCUGGCCGCCCAUCGUCUGGGAUGUGAGCAGCCCCUCUGCUCGGCUGCCCAGUCUGGGAAGUGAGGAGCGCCUCUUCCCGGCCGCCAUCCCGUCUAGGAAGUGAGGAGCGUCUCUGCCAGGCCGCCCAUCGUCUGAGAUGCGGGGAGCGCCUCUGCCCUGCCGCCCCGUCUGGGAUGUGAGGAGCGCCUCAGCCCGGCCACCACCCCGUCUGGGAGGUGUACCCAACAGCUCAUUGAGAACGGGCCAUGAUGACGAUGGCGGUUUUGUGGAAUAGAAAAGGGGGAAAGGUGGGGAAAUGAUAGAGAAAUCGGAUUGUUACUGUGUCUGUGUAGAAAGUAGACAUGGGAGACUUCAUUUUGUUCUGUACUAAGAAAAAUUCUUCUGCCUUGGGAUGCUGUUGAUCUAUGACCUUACCCCCAACCCUGUGCUCUCUGAAACAUGUGCUGUGUCCACUCAGGGUUAAAUGGAUUAAGGGCGGUGCAAGAUGUGCUUUGUUAAACAGAUGCUUGAAGGCAGCAGACUCGUUAAGAGUCAUCACCACUCCCUAAUCUCAAGUACCCAGGGACACAAACACUGCGGAAGGCCGCAGGGUCCUCUGCCUAGGAAAACCAGAGACAUUUGUUCACUUGUUUAUCUGCUGACCUUCCCUCCACUAUUGUCCUAUGACCCUGCUAAAUCCCCCUCUGUGAGAAACACCCAAGAAUGAUCAAUAAAAAAAAAAAAAAAUCAAAAUUCCACUACUAGAUCUCUAGGGAAACUCAUGUACAUGUACACAAAGAAGCAUAUACCAAAAUGUUCAAAGCAUAAUGGUUUAAUAGCAAAUACUUAAAACAAUAUCAAUUUUACUUUGUUUUUUCAGAGGCAGGGUCUCAUUCUAUUGCCCAGGCUGGAGGGCAGUGGCGCAACUGCACCUGACCGCAGCCUUGUCCUCCCAGGCUCAAGUGAUCCUCCCGCCUCAGCCUCCUGAGUAACUGGGACCACAGGUGUGUGCCACUGUGUCCAACUAAUUUUAUUUUUUAAUGUUUUUGUAGGAGCUAUGUUGCCCGGGCUGGUCUCGAACCCCUGACUUCAAGAGAUUCUCCCACCUCGGCCUCUUGAAGUACUGGGAUUACAGAUAUUAGCUACUGAGGCCAGUCUCAAUUUUAAUAAUAAGAAGAUCAAUAUAUAAAUUGUGUACAUUCAUGCAAAAGAAAACAAUGAAGACAUUUCAGGGAAUCAGAGUAGACCUUCUCUAAAAUUGGUGGGGCCCAGAGCAAGGUUAUAAAUGGAGGCUUGGAUACAAAUGUCUAAAUAUUUAACAGUAAUAAAUCAUGCUGAGCUGGGCUUAGUGGCUCAUGCCUGUAAUCCCAGCAGUUUGGGAGGCUGAGGCAAGAGGAAUGCUUGAGCCCAGGCACUCGAGACCAGCCUGGGCAAAAUAGUGAGACACUGUCUCUAUACACACACACACACACACACACACACACACACACACACACACAAAUUAGCCAGGUAUGGUGGCACUAGCCUGGUCCCAGCUACUGGGAGGCUGACAUGGGAGGAUCGUUUGAAUCCAGGAGGUGGAGGCUGCAGUGAGCCAUAUUUGCACCACCACACUCCAGAGUGGUGACAGAACAAGAUCCUGUCUCAAAAAAAAAAAAAGUAUAUAUAUAUGUAUAUGUAUAUGUAUAUGUAUAUGUAUAUGUGUGUGUGUGUUUAUAUAUGAUAUAUAUAAAAUAAAAACUUUAAUACAAAAACUUUAAAAUUUGUUGUAAAAAAAUUUUUUUGGAGACAGAGCCACACUCUGUUGCCCAGGCUGGUGUGCACUGGCAUGAACAUAGCUCACUGUAACCUCAAAAUUCCUGGGAUCAAACAAUCCUUCUGCCUCAGCCUCCAGCACUGCUAGGACUAUGGGCAUGCACCACCACGCCCAGCUAAUAUUUUUUAUAUAAUUAUUUUUAUUUUUUAUUUAUUUUACUUGUUUUUUAUUUUUUUAUUUUUUUAUUUUUUUUUUAUUUUUUGAUGGGGUCUCACUAUGUUGUCCAGGCUAGUCUUGAACUCCUGUCCUCAAUCCUCUCAUCUUGGCCUCCCAAAGCACUGGGAGUACACCCAUGAGCCACUGCACCCAGCCCAGGAAAAAAAUUUUUUUUGAAUUCAAAUAAUGACUAUUUCAAAGCCUUCCGACUGGCAUAAGCCAAAAAAGUCUGAUAACACCAAGCAUUAAUUGGCCAGAAAAUGAGGAAACUGGGACACUCAGACAUAUAAGUAUAAAUUGGCACAGCCACCUUUAUACUAAUUCGUCAGAAUCUGGAAAAGUUGAAGCUAUGUAACAAUUCAAACCAACAAUUCCACUUCCUAAUGAUCUACCCUGGAAAAGCUCUAACCAUGAGCACCAGGAAACACUUGCACGUAAAUUCUUGGCAGCACGAUUUGGUAUAACAAAAACCUGGAAAUAUACUAUAUAUCCAUUACUGGGGGGAAUAGGUAACUGAACUGUGGUAUAAAUCCUAUGAUGAAAUACUUUUCAACUGUUAAAAUGAAUAAACUAGGUCCUUGUGUAGCAAUAUGAAUAGAUCUCCAAAACACAGCAUUGAAUAAAAAUUCUAAAACACAUAAAAUACUACAUUUUGUAUAUGGAUGCAAACAUAUACAAGAGGAAAUUAUAAAAUCAUGGAAGGACAAGAUACACACCAAAAUCAUGAUUGAAGCUGCUUCUUAGGAAAGGGAAAUGAGACUGGGGAUGAGAAAAAAAUAACCUUAGGUCUGUUAUGAUUGUUUAGUAUAUUUUAAAAGAGGAGCAAAACUGAAAAAUGUGAACACUUAUUUAUCCCAGGAGGUGAGUUAUAACUUUUAUGGGUUCAGAAUAAAUAUUCUCUGAUGCUUGCGUUUUUCAGUAUUCUAUUCAACUUGCGAAACAGUCAACUAGUCCUCUUCCCAUCUACCCACCCCCACCCAAAAUGUGAAUUAACCGAAAAGGAAAGACAUACAAACAGGAAAGAACCCAGAGGAAACACCCACAUCGGCAAAAACCGCAAAGCAAGGUAAAGACCCUUAGGCAGCCUGCUUGAAACAGUUAACAGAAAUCAUGCAGGCAAAAUAAAUUUUUGAAUUAAUAACUUCAUAUAGUUACUGGACAAUGUAAGUAGCUAGUUAAGAAGUCAAGGCCGGGCGCGGUGGCUCACGCCUGUAAUCCCAGCACUUUGGGAGGCUGAGGUGGGCGGAUUGCCUGAGCUCAGGAGUUGGAGACCAGACUGGGCAACAUAGUGAAAUCCCGUCUCUACUAAAAUACAAAAAUGAAAAAAAAUUAGCCAGGCGUGGUGGCAGGCGCCUGUAGUCCCAGCUACGCGGGAGGCUGAGGCAGGAGAAUCGCUUGAACCGGGGAGGCGGAGGUUGCAGCGAGCUGAGAUCACGCCACUGCACUCCAGCCUGGGUGACAGAGUGAGACUCUGUCUCAAAAAAAAAAAAAAAAAAAAAGAAAAGAAAAGUUAGCCGGACAUGGUGGCGCCCACCUGUAGUCCCAGCUACUCAGGAGGCUGAGGGAGGAGGAUCAUCUGAGCCUAGGAAUUCGAAGUGGCAGUGAGCUAUGACCGUGCCACUGCACUUCAGUCUGGGUGACAAAGCAAGAUCUCAUUUCUAAAGAAAAAAAAAAGGAAGUCAUGCAGAUCUAGGUUCAAAUACCAAUCCUGCCAGCUUCUAGUUAUGUUACUUUCAGUAGAUUUCUGAAAGGCUCCAUGCCCGAGUUUCCUACAAUAAGGAUGGGACUUAAAAUACUACCUUAGGAGCUAUCCUAAAGACUAACCUGGAUAUCAUCUCCAAAGUGCUUAUCAUAGUGGUUGGCACAUAGUUAUUUGUUCGAUAAAUAGUGAUUAUUUUUGCAUCAGAAGUGGGAUUAGAACUCCAUGUGUGGGCAUAUAUUUCAGCAAAGCAAAUAGAAAUAUCCAAACCGAUUCACCAAAACAAUUAUCCAACAUUGAAGCAAGCCCUGUUGUCAACUAAAAUGUAUCACUAAAAACAUUGCAAAAGAAAAGACAGGAACUACAGAAUAGACAGGAUAAAUCCUAUCUAUAAAUAAUAGUACCACAGACAAAAUUUUAUACACCCAGCACAAUGCAAAUCGUCCCCCUGUAAACAGAGACCAGUUUAGUGAACUGAAUAGUAAUGUCAAGAUGGGUAUCAAUUAGUUAACAGACCCCAUUAACUGGUAAUCUACAAAGAAAGUUCUUAAACUCACAAGUGGCAAGUUUUGGAAGACAAGGUUUUAUUACUCGCUAAGAGGAGAAUAUUUUUAAAACAUAAGUAGGGAGGAAAAAAACAUGUUUUCUAGGACCCGAGGACAAAAAAAAAAUUCUCCCAGAGGUCCUUAUUACAACACUUUAUACAUUAAUAGAUUAAAAGUUUGUAAUUCCCAAAUUCAAAAGUGAUAUAAAAUGAAAUUAAAAAUAUGGCUCUGCCAAUAAAUGUUAGGAAAUAAGAUUUUAUCACUCUACUAAAAAAAAUAAACUUUAUUGACUUCUCUGGAGGGUCCAUCCAAAUUUAGAUAGACCAAAUAAUCCCUAUAUUAUAUAUAUUCUUAUAAAAGUGGAGGUUAACAACCCAAUUAACGAGUUUAAAACAGUUUUGCUGUUUCAAACCAGGGAAAAAUAUACCAUAAUAAACUUCAUAAAACUAAAAUUUCUAAGCAUAUUGCCUACAACAAAUUGAAACAAAGUAUUUAAAUGUUAGAUAUGUAACAUAUGAAAACAAUUAUAGGCCAGGUGAGGCAGUGGCUCAGGCCUGUAAUCCCAGCACUUUGGGAGGCCUAGGCCGGCAGAUCGCUUGAGCUCAGGAGUUCGAGACCGGCCUGGCCAACAUCGCGAAACCCCAUCUCUACUAAAAAUACAAAAAAUUAGCCAAGCAUGGUGGCACACACCUAUAAUCCCAGCUACUUGGGAGUCUGAGGCAGUAGAAUUGCUUGAACCUGGGAGGCAGAGUUUGCAGUGAGCUGAGAUCGGGUCACUGCACUCCAGCCUUGGGUGACCCUAUCUCAAAAAAUUUUAAAAAAAUCUUUUUUUAAAAGGAUUAUGUCUAUGUAUCCUUUUCCCUGAAAAUAAAAGUUGGAUUUAUAAGACAAUCAGGGAAAUUUGAAUACCAACUGGACAAUAGAUGAUAUUAAAAUUGUAAUUUUUUUUACAAAAAUGUGAUCAUUGUACUGUAUUAUGUUAAUAAAACAUAGUUCUUAUGUUUUAGAGAUACUAAAGUACUUAGUAAUCAAAUGGUUGCUGAGAUUUGCUUUAAAAUAACACAUUGGAGUUGGGGACACAUGGGGAAUAGGGAGAAUAAAUGAAACAAAACUGGCCAUAUUUUCAAAACUGUUGAAAUGAUGGGUACAAGGGGCUUCAUCAUUUUUUUCUCUCUACUUUUGAGUAUGUUGAAAAUAUCCAUAGUAAGAAAUAAAAAAAUAAAAAGCAUAUGUAUUUCAUACUAAAAAUCAACACUAGUUGGUGAAGAAUUUGUCAUAAUAGAAAAGAUAAGAACAGAAAAAACAUAACAAAGCCUUCCAACCAUGUUAUUUGGUGUAGUGCUAGAACAUGCUAGAAUGUUCCUUCCUUUUCUAUCCUCCACCCUCUGCUCUCUUCUCCUUCUCAGAGAUUUCUUCAGUGACCAGCAAUGACUUAGAUGAUUUCCUCGAUACCCAUAACUCCCAGCAACUCAGAAACAACCUUCAAAUUGUUGCCCCACAACAUAUUAAAGAAAAUUUUAAAUAAAGGAACACAUUCAAGCACUUUUUAAAAACGUUAGAGUGAGCUGAAAGGGUUUUUGCUCUAAAGAAAUUUUUAAAAAAAUACAUUGCGUCCUCUACCUCAUCCAUCUAAAACACUUACCUUUGUGUGUUUUAUUACACGUAUAUUGGGGGUGAGUGACUGGAGUUUUUGUUAGGUGCGUGAUCAAAAGUUUGCCGACUGGUCGGACUUGGUGGCUUAUGCCUGUAAUCCCAGCACUUUGGGAGGCUGAGACAAGUGGAUCACCUGAGGUCAGGAGUUCGAGACCAGCCUGGCCAACAUGGUGAAACCCUGUCUCUACUAAAAAUACAAAAAUUGGCCGGGUGCGAUGGUGCAUGCCUGUAAUCCCAGCUACUCGGGAGGCUGAGGCAGGAGAAUCGCUUGAACCUGGGAGGUGGAGGUUGCAGUGAACCGAGGUGGAGCCACUGCACUCCAGCCUAAAAAGUUUGCUGACAACCAUUUUAAACCCUGGGACACAAGUCAAAGUGUUUAAGAAUGGGCCAAGUGUAAAAAGUACUGUAUCGAGAAAAGUAAUUGAGCAGAGCACAUAGUGACAGAAAGGGUGGGAGGAAAGACUGGCCAUUCAUUAAUUCAACAAGGCGUUCAUUCAGUUCAUUCAGAAAUUAGAUGGGAAGGCAGAAUCCGCCAAGAAGGGAAAGAGACUUCACAAAAAGGACUUGGUGAUGACAGAUUGUGAGGAGGAUUAAAACCCUGCCUGGGGGAAAAGAUGAGUUUGACUCCAUGGACAGGACACACGCGGGAGAGGAAGGGCUUGGGAUCAAGGGAAAGGCCUGGGCAGCGAAUGUGGACCUGGAAGCCAUCUUUUUAGAUGUGCAGCUGUCCUCGAGGGAGCAAGCUCUCUUAGGGAGAAACUGGGAAGAAAAUCACUCAAGAGUCUUAACCCAAACCUUGCAGCGCAUCUGCAUUUAGACGAAAAAAAAAAAAGGCAAACGGAAACAACAGAAGCAGUGGCCCGAGACGUGAGCCACACUGCUUCAAAGGGAUUUAAGAGAGUUGUCCCAAGGCAGGCGGUCAACUGCGCGCGCCACCGUAGAGAGACCACCCGGAGGGAAGGCCCGCGGCUGCUACAACUUCAGGAACCUGGAAAAGGGCCACCCCUGCUACGCGCCAGGCAUCAGAAAAGCGGUGAUGAGGGGCAUGGGGGUGACCGGGAAGGGAGGGACAAGCAGAGAGACCUGCGGCUCGCUCCGGCGGAGACGGACCGGGGGCCCAGGGCGGCUGGGUUACUGGCUCCGCCACGUCUAGGGAAGGAGGUAGUAGGGAGGGAAAGACUCAAGAUACCAAAGACGGGAGGCUCUUUCCUUCCUUCCCAAACCUGCCUACCGCUUCUCUAGGCCCUGGCUGGCUCCAGAGCACUUUAUUCUUCUGAUUCGUGCGGGCGGGCGGGGAAAGGGGUGGAGGUUGAGCCUGGUCUCCUCCAGGCACUAGCAUUUUAGCCAUUCUCGAGAAAAUGUCUGGAGGUGCCGGAAGGAAGGGAACUGCAAAGGUAGAAGCGCGGGCCCUGCAGAGGCUCCCAGAGGGGAGCAGAGAAGGGAGUGGCUGGAGGCGGAGGCUGUCAGGUGCGGGGUCCCGGCGAAGCCGUGCCCCUCCCAGAACAUUG
rnacentral:lncRNA from 10 species